UAGGGAAUAUUGCUCAAUGGGGGGAAACCCGUGAAGCAGCAACGCCGCGUGGAGGAUGAAGGUUUUCGGAUUGUAAACUCCUUUUGUUAGAGAAGAUAAUGACGGUAUCUAACGAAUAAGCACCGGCUAACUCCGUGCC
rnacentral:rRNA from 1 species